UAACAUUGUAGCUGAUGUGAAGAAAGCAUUUGGAUACGUGCCGAUUCUCUGAUGAUAGCUGAUAGAACUUAAUGGUCAUAUGGAAGUGAGAAUUUCUGGAAUUUGUCCAAGGAGUGGAAGGUAAGUUUAGGUAACAGGUACAGAAAGAGCAGUAGAACCUAUAAACUGAUUGAUUAGUUAGAGCUAAGAAAGCAAAUACAUGAAAAGGAAAAAUGAUACCUUUUGAUUUGGUUUUUAGCCUAGUACUUGUCGUGCCAAAUUGCUGAGUUUGAAGUUGUAUUAAUUAGGCUUAGAUAUGUAGAACUUGCCAACAAGUAUUUGUAAAG
rnacentral:lncRNA from 1 species